ensembl:lncRNA
GGACCUCAGUAGACUACUGCCUCAGUGGAACUAACACAGGACCUCAGUAGACUACUGCCUCAGUGGGACUAACACAGGACCUCAGUAGACUACUGCCUCUACUGGGUUGAGCAGAAACUUUUCCUCUUACUGAGGAGUGUAACAGCACCCACGAUCUGAGAGGAGGACCUGUCACGAUCUGAGAGGAGGACCUGUCACGAUCUGAGAGGAGGACCUGUCACGAUCUGAGAGGAGGACCUGUCACUAUCUGAGAGGAGGAUCUGUCUCGAUCUGAGAGGAGGACCUGUCACGAUCUGAGAGGAGGACCUGUCUCACGAUCUGAGAGGAGGACCUGUCACGAUCUGAGAGGAGGACCUGUCACGAUCUGAGAGGAGGACCUGUCUCGAUCUGAGAGGAGGACCUGUCACGAUCUGAGAGGAGGGACCUGUCUCGAUCUGAGAGGAGGACCUGCCUCGAUCUGAGAGGAGGACCUGCCACGAUCUGAGAGGAGGACCUGUCUCGAUCUGAGAGGAGGACCUGUCACGAUCUGAGAGGGGAGGACCUGUCUCGAUCUGAGAGGAGGACCUGUCUCGAUCUGAGAGGAGGGGAGGAUGGCUCUGAGAGGAGGACCUGUCUCGAUCUGAGAGGAGGGGAGGAUGGCUCUGAGAGGAGGAUUACUACAUCAUGGGAUCACCUUCACCUCCUAGCCUGACAGACAUUAUAUACAAGCUGUGUCCCAGAUGGUGCCCUAUCCCUAAUGUAGUGCACUACUUUGGACCACAGUCCUAUGGACCCUAGCCAAAUGUAGUGCACUACUUUGGACCACAAUCCUAUGGGCCCUAGCCAAAUGUAGUGCACUACUUUGGACCACAGCCCUAUGGGCCCUAGCCAAAUGUAGUGCACUAUAAAGGGAAUAUGAUGACAUUUGUGACACAACCAUAGUCUAUGGUGACCAAGCAUAGUGUUUUUACAUCACAAGGCAGGAUAUGUAAGAGGCUCCUCCCACUGUACCUCUGUCUCAUCACAGACAACCAAUGAAGGCUUGGUAGCUAUCCAUCUGACUAGACGUUGGUAUUGUCUAUUAUAGGCAUGUGCUGGUAUUUACAUCACAAGUCACUGAGAGCCACUAAAAAUGGCCCCCUAUUUCAUAUAUACUGCAUUACUUUUGAGCAGAGCUCGAGCCCUGGUCUAUAGUAGUGUACUAUAUAGGGAAUAGGGCCCUGGCCUAAAGUAGUGCACUACAUAGGGAAUAGGGUUCUGGUCUAAAGUAGUGCACUAUAUAGGGAAUAGGGCCCUGGCCAAAGUAGUGCACUACAUAGGGAAUAGGGUACCAUUUGGGUUACUCAACUAGUGAGGCCUUUCCAAACACCAGCAUAGGUGCAUGUCUCUCUGGUAGCUAGAUAGAGUCAAAGAACACCUAACAUGCCUUUACCGUGGAUUCAACUAUUUCCUACAUUAUGAAGUCAGACAACCAAAUAUUUAUUUACAACAGAUAUAGUGAGAUGUAGAGGCUAACGUUAGAUUGUUUUAUAUAGAUUUGUACAUUGUUUUUGUACAUAAAGGCACUAUGUCAAUGAUAUUCUAAUGCUGUCUCUUGGAGAAGGGACCACAUGCUUUUUUUGAAUGGAUUAAAAAUUCAGCUCCUGAUCAGCUGAAAUGGAAUUCAGAAUCACUGUUUGAACAAUCUAGAACAUUCUAUGGAACUAUAGAAUCACAAAACAACUGAAAAGACUGAAUAAAGCUGAUGACUGUUAUGAGAUGGACUCUCUCCAACUAGUAAGCAUAGAUUUACUUUUGUAAAACUGGGUAUUUUUUAUAAGUAGUACAAAAUAAAGUUUUCAAUGAGUGAAUUUAGACUAUAUUCUUUUGAUAAUAAUUAUGGUUGCAAAUAAAAUAAACAAUUCUAAUAAUGUUUUGCAGAUUAUUCAAUAUUUGGAUGUGUUCAGUAAACAGUACUUUUAUUGUAAACAAUAUAUUGUUUUUGUUUAUAUGCCAACUAUUCUGUACUGCUUGUUUGACAUUCUCCAAUAUUUGGUUCUUCACCUUAGUGCCAAUGCAGUUCCACAUUGUAGUGAUGCGUGUAUCUGAAUGGAGGGCUUACUUACAAGUCAUAUGGUGCAGGUACACUAUUGUUCAAAAGCUUUGGUCACUGAGAAAUGUCCUUGUUUUUUUUAAAGAAAAGCACAUUUGUUUGUCCAUUAAAAUAACAUCAAAUUGAACAGAAAUACAGUGUAGACAUUGUUAAUGUUGUAAAUGACUAUUGUAGCUGGAAACGGCUGAUUCUUUAUGGAAUAUCUACAUGGGCAUACAGAGGCCCAUUAUCAGCAACCAUCACUGAUGUGUUCCAAUGGCACAUUGUGUUAGCUAAUCCAAGUUUAUCGUUUUAAAAGGCUAAUUGAUCAUUAGAAAACCCUUUCACAAUUAUGUUAGCACAGCUGAAAACUGUUGUUCUGAUUAAAGAAGCAAUACAACUAUCCUUCUUUAGACUAGUUGAGUAUCUGGAGCAUCAGCAUUUGUGGGUUCGAUUACAGGCUCAAAAUGGCCAGAAACAAAGACCUUUCUUCUGAAACUCAUCAGUCUAUUCUUGUUCUGAGAAAUUAAGGCUAUUCCAUGCGAGAAAUUGCCAAGAAACUGGAGGUCUCAUACAACGCAGUGUACUACUCCCUUCACAGAACAGUGCAAACUGGCUCUAACCAGAAUAAAAAGGAGAGUGGGGGGCCCCGGUGCACAACUGAGCAAGAGGACAAGUACAUUAGAGUGUCUAGUCUGAGAAACAGACGCUUCACAAGUCCUCAACUGGCAGCUUCAUUAAAUAAACUCAGAAAAAAGGAAAGCUCCUCUCACUGUCAACUGCGUUUAUUUUCAGCAAACUUAACAUGUGUAAAUAUUUCUAUGAACAUAAGAUUCAACAACUGAGACAUAAACUGAACACGUUCCACAGACAUGUGACCAACAGAAAUGGAAUAAUGUGUCCCUGAACAAAGGGGGGGUCAAAAACAAAAGUAACAGUCAGUAUCUGGUGUGGCCACCAGCUGCAUUAAGUACUACAGUGCAUCUCCUCCUCAUGGACUGCACCAGAUUUGCCAGUUCUUGCUAUGUGAUGUUACCCCACUCUUCCACCAAGGCACCUGCAAGUUCCCAGACAUUUCUCUGGGGAAUGGCCCUAGCCCUCACCCUCCGAUCCAACAGGUCCCUGACGCGCUCAAUGGGAAUGAGAUCCGGACUCUUUGCUGGCCAUGGCAGAACACUGACAUUCCUGCCUUGCAGGAAGUCACGCACAGAACAAGCAGUAUGGCUGGUGGCAUUGUCAUGCUGGAGGGUCACGUCAGGAUGAGCCUGCAGGAAGGGUUGUGUUAUUGACUGUACGUUUGUUUAUGUGUAACUCUGUGUUGUUGUUUUUGUCGCACUGCUUUGCUUUAUCUUGGCCAGGUCGCAGUUAUAAAUGAAAACUUGUUCUCAACUGGCCUACCUGGUUAAAUAAAGGUGAAAUAAAAUGUAAAAUAAAUAAAAGGGAACCACAUGAGGGAGGAGGAUGUCUUCCCUGUAACGCACAGCGUUGAGAUUGCCUGCAAUGACAACAAGCUCAGUACGAUGAUGCUGUGAUACACCCCCCCAGACCAUGACAGACCCUCCACCUCCAAAUCGAUCUCGCUCCAGAGUACAGACCUUGGUGUAACGAUCAGUCCUUUGACAAUAAACGCGAAUCCGACCAUCACGCCUGGUGAGACAAAACCAUGACUCGUCAGUGAAGAGCACUUUCCUG